GAGGGUGUAGCUCAUUGGUAGAGUGUGUGCAUAACAUGUAUGAGGUCCUGGGUUCAAUCCCCAGGAACUCCA
rnacentral:tRNA from 1 species